CCUACGGGGGGCUGCAGUGGGGAAUAUUGCACAAUGGGGGAAACCCUGAUGCAGCGACGCCGCGUGAGUGAAGAAGUAUUUCGGUAUGUAAAGCUCUAUCAGCAGGGAAGAAAACAGACGGUACCUGACUAAGAAGCCCCGGCUAACUACGUGCCAGCAGCCGCGGUAAUACGUAGGGGGCAAGCGUUAUCCGGAAUUACUGGGUGUAAAGGGUGCGUAGGUGGCAUGGUAAGUCAGAAGUGAAAGCCCGGGGCUUAACCCCGGGACUGCUUUUGAAACUGUCAUGCUGGAGUGCAGGAGAGGUAAGCGGAAUUCCUAGUGUAGCGGUGAAAUGCGUAGAUAUUAGGAGGAACACCAGUGGCGAAGGCGGCUUACUGGACUGUCACUGACACUGAUGCACGAAAGCGUGGGGAGCAAACAGGAUUAGAUACCCCUGUAGUC
rnacentral:rRNA from 1 species